rnacentral:rRNA from 1 species
AGUGAACGCUGGCGGUAGGCCUAACACAUGCGAGUCGAACGGCAGCACAGUAAGAGCUUGCUCUUUCGGGUGGCGAGUGGCGGACGGGUGAGGAAUACAUCGGAAUCUACUUUUUCGUGGGGGAUAACGUAGGGAAACUUACGCUAAUACCGCAUACGACCUACGGGUGAAAGCAGGGGAUCUUCGGACCUUGCGCGAUUGAAUGAGCCGAUGUCGGAUUAGCUAGUUGGCGGGGUAAAGGCCCACCAAGGCGACGAUCCGUAGCUGGUCUGAGAGGAUGAUCAGCCACACUGGAACUGAGACACGGUCCAGACUCCUACGGGAGGCAGCAGUGGGGAAUAUUGGACAAUGGCGCAAGCCUGAUCCAGCCAUACCGCGUGGGUGAAGAAGGCCUUCGGGUUGUAAAGCCCUUUUGUUGGGAAAGAAAAGCAGCAGGUUAAUACCCCGCUGUUCUGACGGUACCCAAAGAAUAAGCACCGGCUAACUUCGUG